rnacentral:rRNA from 1 species
CAGGCCUAACACAUGCAAGUCGAGCGGUAUUUCUUCUUCGGAAGAGAGAGAGCGGCAUACGGGUGCGUAACACGUGUGCAACCUACCUUUAUCUGGGGAAUAGCCUUUCGAAAGGAAGAUUAAUACCCUAUAAUAUAUUGAAUGGCAUCAUUUAAUAUUGAAAACUCCGGUGGAUAGAGAUGGGCACGCGCAAGAUUAGAUAGUUGGUGAGGUAACGGCUCACCAAGUCAAUGAUCUUUAGGGGUCCUGAGAGGGAGAUCCCCCACACUGGUACUGAGACACGGACCAGACUCCUACGGGAGGCAGCAGUGAGGAAUAUUGGACAAUGGGUGAAAGCCUGAUCCAGCCAUCCCGCGUGAAGGAUGACGGUCCUAUGGAUUGUAAACUUCUUUUGUACAGGAAUAACCUACUCUCGUGAGAGUAGCUGAAGGUACUGUACGAAUAAGCACCGGCUAACUCCGUGCCAGCAGCCGCGGUAAUACGGAGGGUGCAAGCGUUAUCCGGAUUUAUUGGGUUUAAAGGGUCCGUAGGCGGACCCGUAAGUCAGUGGUGAAAUCUCAUAGCUCAACUAUGAAACUGCCAUUGAUACUGCGGGUCUUGAGUAAAUUUGAAGUGGCUGGAAUAAGUAGUGUAGCGGUGAAAUGCAUAGAUAUUACUUAGAACACCAAUUGCGAAGGCAGGUCACUAAGAUUUAACUGACGCUGAGGGACGAAAGCGUGGGUAGCGAACAGGAUUAGAUACCCUGGUAGUCCACGCCGUAAACGAUGCUAACUCGUUUUUGGAUCUUCGGAUUCAGAGACCAAGCGAAAGUGAUAAGUUAGCCACCUGGGGAGUACGAUCGCAAGAUUUGAAACUCAA